GCAACGCGGACUGAAGGAACGUCGUUUUUAGAGAAUUUGGCAGAACGUCCAACCGGCCUCACAUCCACAGACCACGUCAGCCCAGGACCUCUACAUCCACAGACCACGUCAGCCCAGGACCUACACAUCCACAGACCACGUCAGCCCAGGACCUCCACAUCCACAGACCACAUCAGCCCAGGACCUCCACAUCCACAGACCACGUCAGCCCAGGACCUCUACAUCUACAGACCACGUCAGCCCAGGACCUCUACAUCCACAGACCACGUCAGCCCAGGACCUCUACAUCCACAGACCACGUCAGCCCAGGACCUCUACAUCCACAGACCACGUCAGCCCAGGACCUCUACAUCCACAGACCACGUCAGCCCAGGACCUCCACAUCCACAGACCACGUCAGCCCAGGACCUCCACAUCCACAGACCACGUCAGCCCAGGACCUCCACAUCCACAGACCACGUCAGCCCAGGACCUCCACAUCCACAGACCACGUCAGCCCAGGACCUCUACAUCCACAGACCACGUCAGCCCAGGACCUCUACAUCCACAGACCACGUCAGCCCAGGACCUCUACAUCCACAGACCACGUCAGCCCAGGACCUCUACAUCCACAGACCACGUCAGCCCAGGACCUCCACAGACCACGUCAGCCCAGGACCUCUACAUCCACAGACCACAUCAGCCCAGGACCUCCACAGACCACGUCAGCCCAGGACCUCUACAUCCACAGACCACGCCAGCCCAGGACCUCCACAGACCACGUCAGCCCAGGACCUCUACAUCCACAGACCACGCCAGCCCAGGACCUCCACAUCCACAGACCACGUCAGCCCAGGACCUCCACAUCCACAGACCACGUCAGCCCAGGACCUCUACAUCCACAGACCACGUCAGCCCAGGACCUCUACAUCCACAGACCACAUCAGCCCAGGACCUCCACAGACCACGUCAGCCCAGGACCUCUACAUCCACAGACCACAUCAGCCCAGGACCUCCACAGACCACGUCAGCCCAGGACAUCUCUAUCAACCACAGACCACGCCAGCCCAGGACCUCCACAGACCACAGACCACGUCAGCCCAGGACCUCUACAUCCGGCUUCUUCACCGACGGGAUCGUCUGAGGGGGGAGAGGGGAGGUGCUGAGGGGGGAGAGGGGAGGUGCUGA
rnacentral:lncRNA from 1 species